UACUAAUAUACCUACUACUGUACACAGAUCUACUAAUAUACCUACUACUGUAUACAGGUCUACUAAUAUACCUACUACUGUACACAGGUCUACUAAUAUACCUACUACUGUACACAGGUCUACUAACAUACCUACUACUGUACACAGGUCAGCUAAUAUACCUACUACUGUACACAGGUCUACUAAUAUACCUACUACUGUAUACAGGUCUACUAAUAUACCUACUACUGUAUACAGGUCUACUAAUAUACCUACUACUGUACACAGGUCUACUAAUAUACCUACUACUGUACACAGAUC
rnacentral:lncRNA from 1 species